UAGAAAAUAGUAAAAUGGGAUUACAGGGGGUUUUGAUCUCUCAGUUGUAGGUUCAAUUCCUACUUUUUUAG
rnacentral:tRNA from 1 species